UAGUCCACGCCGUAAACGAUGUGUGCUAGUUGUCAGACCCUCAGGGUUUGGUGACGGAGAGAAAUCAUUAAGCACACCGCCUGGGGAGUACGGCCGCAAGGUUAAAACUCAAAGGAAUUGACGGGGACCCGUACAAGCGGUGGAGCAUGUUGUUUAAUUCGAAGCAACGCGAAGAACCUUACCAGGGCUUGACAUGUCGUGAAUUUUCUUGAAAAAGAAAGUGCCUUCGGGAACACGAACACAGGUGGUGCAUGGCUAUCGUCAGCUCGUGUCGUGAGAUGUUGGGUUAAGUCCCGCAACGAGCGCAACCCUUGUCUUUAGUUGCCAUCAUUCAGUUGGGCACUCUAAAGNGACUGCCGGUGACAAACCGGAGGAAGGUAAGGAUGACGUCAAGUCAGCAUGCCCCUUACGCCCUGGGCUACACACGUGCUACAAUGGUCGUGACAAAGGGUCGCUAAUCUGCAAAGACAUGCUAAUCUCAUAAACACGGCCUCAGUUCGGAUUGCAGG
rnacentral:rRNA from 1 species